GUUAGGAAUAUUCGUCAAUGGGGGAAACCCUGAACGAGCAAUGCCGCGUGAGUGAUGACGGUCCUCUGGAUUGUAAAACUCUGUUGUUUGGAAAGAAUAGUAAGAAUAGGAAAUGAUUCUUAUAUGACGGUACCAUUCAAGAAAGCCACGGCUAACUACGUGCCAGCAGCCGCGGUAAUACGUAGGUGGCGAGCGUUAUCCGGAUUUAUUGGGCGUAAAGCGUCCGCAGCCGGUUUAUUAAGUCUAGAAUUAAAGCCUGGGGCUCAACCCCAGUUCGUUCUAGAAACUGAUAAGCUUGAGUAUAGUAGAGGCAAAUGGAAUUUCUAGUGUAGCGGUAAAAUGCGUAGAUAUUAGAAGGAACACCAGUGGCGAAGGCGAUUUGCUAGGCUAUCACUGACGGUCAGGGACGAAAGCGUGGGGAGCAAAUAGGAUUAGAAACCCUAGUAGUCC
rnacentral:rRNA from 1 species